UUCCCGUUGGUCUAGUGGUUACAGUGCUGCGAAGGAUGUCCCGCUUUCACCGGGAAGACCGCGGGUUCAAACCCCGCACGGGAAG